rnacentral:rRNA from 1 species
GACGAACGCUGGCGGCGUGCCUAAUACAUGCGAGUUGAGCGCUGAAGGUUGGUACUUGUACCGACUGGAUGAGCAGCGAACGGGUGAGUAACGCGUGGGGAAUCUGCCUUUGAGCGGGGGACAACAUUUGGAAACGAAUGCUAAUACCGCAUAAAAACUUUAAACACAAGUUUUAAGUUUGAAAGAUGCAAUUGCAUCACUCAAAGAUGAUCCCGCGUUGUAUUAGCUAGUUGGUGAGGUAAAGGCUCACCAAGGCGAUGAUACAUAGCCGACCUGAGAGGGUGAUCGGCCACAUUGGGACUGAGACACGGCCCAAACUCCUACGGGAGGCAGCAGUAGGGAAUCUUCGGCAAUGGACGAAAGUCUGACCGAGCAACGCCGCGUGAGUGAAGAAGGUUUUCGGAUCGUAAAACUCUGUUGGUAGAGAAGAACGUUGGUGAGAGUGGAAAGCUCAUCAAGUGACGGUAACUACCCAGAGAGGGACGGCUAACUACGUG